rnacentral:rRNA from 1 species
UAGUCCACGCCGUGAACGAUGGUCACUAGUUGUUGGGGCUUUAUGCCUCAGUGAUUAAGCGAAAGUGAUAAGUGACCCACCUGGGGAGUACGAUCGCAAGAUUGAAACUCAAAGGAAUUGACGGGGGCCCGCACAAGCGGUGGAGCAUGUGGUUUAAUUCGAUGAUACGCGAGGAACCUUACCAGGGCUUAAAUGUAAGUUGCAUAGACCAGAGAUGGUCUUUUCUUCGGACUACUUACAAGGUGCUGCAUGGUUGUCGUCAGCUCGUGCCGUGAGGUGUCAGGUUAAGUCCUAUAACGAGCGCAACCCUUGUCGUUAGUUGCCAGCAUGUAAAGAUGGGGACUCUAACGAGACUGCCGGUGCAAACCGAGAGGAAGGUGGGGAUGACGUCAAAUCAUCACGGCCCUUACGUCCUGGGCCACACACGUGCUACAAUGGUAUGGACAAUGAGCAGCCAUCUGGCAACAGAGAGCGAAUCUAUAAACCAUAUCAC